UCGGAUGUCGGAACUCUCUAGUAGGGUAAAAUAUGUUUUUACAAAUGUUUUUCAUGUUUUUAAUGAUUAAUUUUGAGUUAAAGUUUUAAAGAAAAGAAAAGAAAGAGAAUGAAGGAAGAGCCCAGGUUCGGCCGCCGAACAUGGCAUGCAUGCGGAGGCACGUUAGGCCCCCGAAAGUGGCCUGGCCAGCCACCUAUAAAGGGGUCCCCCUGUCCGAAAUGGGUGAGUUUUCUCUCCCCAUUUCCGGCCAAGGUGAGUCUCCGACCUCCCUUGUCGAUCUUGCCUUCUUCCUUCAAGUCUCUCAUGAUUUUUAACAAGUUUUAUCUUGAUCUGAAGAUAUUUGAGCAAAAAGAGUGAAGUUGGAAACUUGGAGACUCCAGGAGCUCGAUCUCUCCCAUCUCCG
rnacentral:lncRNA from 1 species